rnacentral:rRNA from 1 species
AUUGAACGCUGGCGGCAGGCCUAACACAUGCAAGUCGAGCGGAUGAAGGGAGCUUGCCCCUGGAUUCAGCGGCGGACGGGUGAGUAAUGCCUAGGAAUCUGCCUGGUAGUGGGGGAUAACGUCCGGAAACGGGCGCUAGUACCGCAUACGUCCUGAGGGAGAAAGUGGGGGAUCUUCGGACCUCACGCUAUCAGAUGAGCCUAGGUCGGAUUAGCUAGUUGGUGGGGUAAAGGCCUACCAAGGCGACGAUCCGUAACUGGUCUGAGAGGAUGAUCAGUCACACUGGAACUGAGACACGGUCCAGACUCCUACGGGAGGCAGCAGUGGGGAAUAUUGGACAAUGGGCGAAAGCCUGAUCCAGCCAUGCCGCGUGUGUGAAGAAGGUCUUCGGAUUGUAAAGCACUUUAAGUUGGGAGGAAGGGCAGUAAGUUAAUACCUUGCUGUUUUGACGUUACCAACAGAAUAAGCACCGGCUAACUUCGUG